rnacentral:rRNA from 2 species
UUAAGUCUCCUGAAGGAACGUUGAAGACGACGACGUUGAUAGGCCGGGUGUGUAAGCGCAGCGAUGCGUUGAGCUAACCGGUACUAAUGAACCGUGAGGCUUAACCUUACAACGCCGAAG